rnacentral:rRNA from 1 species
GAUGAACGCUGGCUACAGGCUUAACACAUGCAAGUCGAGGGGAAACGACGGGGAAGCUUGCUUCCCCGGGCGUCGACCGGCGCACGGGUGAGUAACGCGUAUCCAACCUGCCUCUGACUGAGGGAUACCCGGCCAAAGGCGGGCUUAUACCCCAAUGUUUUGUUCGCCGGGCUCCCAAGGACGUUUAAAGAUUUCUUGGUCCAGGGUGGGGAUGCGUCUGAUUAGCUUGUUGGCGGGGUAACGGCCCACCAAGGCUACGAUCAGUAGGGGUUCUGAGAGGAAGGUCCCCCACAUUGGAACUGAGACACGGUCCAAACUCCUACGGGAGGCAGCAGUGAGGAAUAUUGGUCAAUGGGCGAGAGCCUGAACCAGCCAAGUAGCGUGCAGGAAGACGGCCCUAUGGGUUGUAAACUGCUUUUAUGCGGGGAUAAAGUGAGGGACGUGUCCCUCAUUGCAGGUACCGCAUGAAUAAGGACCGGCUAAUUCCGUG